rnacentral:rRNA from 1 species
UACGUAGGGUGCGAGCGUUAAUCGGAAUUACUGGGCGUAAAGCGUGCGCAGGCGGUUUUGUAAGCCAGAUGUGAAAUCCCCGGGCUUAACCUGGGAAUGGCAUUUGGGACUGCAAGGCUUGAGUGCGGCAGAGGAGACUGGAAUUCCUGGUGUAGCAGUGAAAUGCGUAGAUAUCAGGAGGAACACCGAUGGCGAAGGCAGCUUACUGGGCUGUAACUGACGCUGAUGCACGAAAGUGUGGGGAUCAAACAGG